GGAUCUUCUUGGCUGCGGUGGGUGGCCAUGCUGUGGGCUUCGUUCUUUUCAAAAGGCGAGGCGAAAGAAAGGAUGUCCUAUAAGAUCCUAGAAUGGGCCUUGAUUGUGUGGGCUUUCAUGUGUAAUGCCCACAAAACCCAAUAACAAAGCCCAUUGACCAACAAAAUGCAUACUUUUUCUUCCUAAUUUCAAUUCUUAUCAAAUAACCACUGUAAUUUCAAUUCUUCCUUUUUCUUUUUCUUUUUUGGAUUAUCCUUUUUGCUUUAGAUUUUUCUAAAUCUUAAAUAAAAAUCUAUGGAAUUUUAUUUAA
rnacentral:lncRNA from 1 species